UAUAAAAAAUACAGUGACACUAUUACCAAACAAAAGUUCAGAUUUCAAAUGUGAAAGUAUGUUUGCAGGGCUGGAAUAGAUAUGGGUGGAUUUUAUCUUUGGUGCCAACUCCAUUACAACAAAAAAUUUCUGUAAAACAAACUAUUUUCCAGACCCAACUACUAGCCCAUUUAAAGAUAAUAUUGGAUAUAAUUAGUAUCACUGCAAGAGUUUGGAAAAUCCCUUUUAGUCACUGAGUAGAGCUCUACAUGAAAUACAUAAAAUAUUUUGAGGGAACAAAUAUGUACGUGUUGCACUAACAGGAAAAUUAAUAUUGGCAAACAGUCAAAAGACUAAAAAUAAACAGCUUAGUGGUUAAGAGUGCUGGCCUUGAGGUCAAGCUUGGUGGCAUACAUCUGGUACCCCAGGACUUGGGAGGCUAAGGGAAGAGGACAAAAAGUUGAAGACCUACCUAGGCAACUUAGCAAGAAUCCAUUCCCAAAAAAACGGUCUGUCUCUGAGGCCUGUCUGCCUAUUUCAAAUCCUGGUUCUACUACUUAUUAAUUAUAUAACCUUGAAUUUUUCAUCUGUAUUAUGGGAAUUUGAUGGGAUAAUGAGUUAAAAGAACCUAGCACACAGUAAGUACUUGAACUGUUAUUAAAACCUAUUUAAAAUUUUAAAUAUGGAAUAUUUAACUUUCUUUCAUCCUUUAUUAUUUUCAUCUUAUAAUUCUUCCACACAUCUUAUUUACAAAGGCAUAUAAUAAAUGAAUGUGAUACAAUAAAACCUAGAUUACCCAGGACACAUGGGAAAUAAAUCAUUCUGACCAACUUGGAUAGUUCAAUUUUCCAGUCAGGUACCCAAAAAUAGGGGGUGGGAAUCAACAAAUGAGAUAAAACUAUCGCCCAGGUUUCUAUCACCUAUUUCUAUACCUUCUAAAAGAAAGUAUAUUUAUGACAUGAAUGUUUUUCUGUUAUUAUUCUCAAAUUGUUUUACUUUAUAAUACAAUACAUUUAAUAUGCAUAUUAUUUGGAAGUCUACGGCUUUACCAGACCACCUAAGUGACUUGUGACACAAAAAAGUUAGGAACUUUUCCUCAUGUUUGUCCCAGUCCACAGUGGUGUGUCAACCUACAGCAGUGAGUUCCACUGUGCUUUUAUACCAAAGUUUGGUGGGGUUAGGAUGACACAAGUUGGUUUUUCAGAGGCUUUUCUUUAUGAGUGGACCUCCCUGGAUAUGAUUGGUUUCCUUUUUGUAAGUGGGAAUGUUUCUUCCUAUCCUUGUACCCUGGCUUCUGGAAAAAGAAAUGAAAGAAGUAAACAGUAAGUUAGAUCAACAGAAAUCAAGUAAGUUAGUUUCAGAUGUCACUUAACGUAGAAACAGAAAACAUCUUGCUCUAUGACACUCCAUCCAUAAAUAUUCUGAAGUGAAUUGUAUAAGCUCAGAUUUUACUUCUGCCACUUAGCUGUGUCACUUUGGGUUAGUAACUUAAUCUGUGUCUCUGUUUCUUCAUUUGUGAAAGAGGACUACUAAGACAAUAUCCAGUGUGUGAUAAAUUCCAUAUAUAUGACCUAUUCCUAUUACUACAUUUAUUUCACACUCGGGCCAGUAUCUAACUUUUUACUUAAAUAACAUAUUUAUACAGAAGUGAAGGGAGCAUCCUUAUGACACGUGAACCACAUGGCAACUCCAAAAGAGAAGAUAGCUAUUACUACAUUUAGCUGAGUAGGGCAGAAACAGACUCAGAUGAGUAACCAGACCAAUUUCACAAAUGGGAAGCAAUAACUCAAAACCAGGUUUUGCCCUCCACCCUCAGGCCUAAUCUUGUGCCUCUACCUUGUGAGCAGGAAGAAAGGACAAAGCAAAGAUUACUCUUCGAGGGCAGGAAGCAGGUAUCCAGUAGGCCAGAGCUGAGCGCCUAGGUGAUUUGCUAUCUUCAGAAUAGUUCCGACUGAAAAGUAUCAACAUCAGCUGGGAGCUUGUUAGAGCUAUAGACUCCCUUUCCAACCUGGCCUACUAUAUCAAAAUAGGCCUUCUGAAAAAACCCCAGGUGAUAGCUAUGGAUACUAGUUUGAGAAGUACUGGUGACUCCAGGGACACUAUAUGGUCACUUGAACAGUACCUCUCAGAACAUAUAUCGUUUUGUUUUUGGAACAUUUAUCAUUGACCUGUGACUUUAUUUGGUAAUACUUUUUUUUCUACAUGAAGUACAUUUUAAAAUCAAGUUUAUUUUUCAUGUAAUCCUUAAAGAUUUCCACUUUGGUGAGUAUUAGAAACCCUUCAGUGGUUAGGACAUGCUGCAUCUUGCCCAUGUCAACACCGCUACGCCGAUUCCACCACGUUCUGAGCUUCUCCGACCCAAAACCCUAUCCGAUUUCUCGGGGACUGGCUACACUGGCCCAGGAAUGGACACACCGAGGAAAGGCGCUAAGCUGUCGGCCUGCGCUCUCCCAUCUCUGAUCGCCCACAUCUGCGCGGGAUCCUCACCUCCCAGGUUGGGCACGCGCCCGGCCCUGCCACGUGGACGCGCUCUGCGGGCUUGCCCCUAUCCUGGCGAGGGGCGUCUGCGGCCGCGAGGGACAGCCCAGAAGGAGAUAAACACUGUUCACCUGCCCUCGCGGUUCUACCUGGACCACAGGUAUCCACCAUCCGCCCGCGGCCCCGCCCACCCGCACAUUUCCAAAGGCUACUGCAGGUUCACACAGCCCGGGGAAUUUCACUUCCCCUCCCUCCCACCAGCGCAAGGCUCGGAGGGCGGUGCUUCCCGUCGGUGGUCCCACCUACUUCCGGUCAGCGGUCUGGCGCAUCUCGCGAGAGUUCGCGGGUCUGGGGCGGGGCUCUGCCAGGAAGAGUGCACAAAACUGCCCUUAAGUCAUUGCAGAGCUCUAGCGCCGGCCAGGCUGCUGCGCGUUUCUCGCGAGAUCCGCCUCCUUCGUACCAAGUGAGGAAACUGGGGGACGCCGCUGGGAGGGGCGUGGGGCUCCUCCGCGCAGCUGCCGCUUCCAGGGCCGUGUCUGAGCCGCUGGGAGCCGAGGACCAUCCAGACGCGGCGGGACCGAGCACACGCGGACACCGAGGGCCGGGACAGCACGGACCAUGGC